UAUGACGGUACCCUUUCGAAUAAGAGGUUGCUAACUCUGUGCCAGCAGCAGCGGUAAUACAGAGACCUCGAGCGUUAUCCGGAUUUACUGGGCGUAAAGCGUCUUGUAGGGGGUUUGUUAAGUUCCAAGUAAAAUCUUAAGGCUCAACUUUAAAGUUCGCUUGGAAAACUAAUAAACUGGAGUCCAGCAGAGGUGCAUGGAACUUGCGGUGUAGGAGUGAAAUCCGUCGAUAUCGCAAGGAACACCAAAGGCGAAGGCAUUGCACUGGGCUGGUACUGACCCUGAGAGACGAAAGCGUGGGGAGCAAAACGGAUUAGAUACCCGUGUAGUCCACGCCGUAAACGAUGGAUACUAGAUGUUCGGGGAUUCGACCCCCUGGGUGUCACAGCUAACGCGUUAAGUAUCCCGCCUGGGAAGUACGGCCGCAAGGCUAAAACUCAAAGGAAUAGACGGGGAUCCGCACAAGCGGUGGAGCGUCUGGUUUAAUUUGAUAGUAAGCAAUGGACCUCACCAAGGUUUGACAUCCUAUGACAACCCUGGAAACAGGGCUUCCUUCGGGCAUAGUGACAGGUGCUGCAUGGUCGUCGUCAGUUCGUGCCGUGAGGUGUUCCGUUAAGUCGGGAAACGAACGAAACCCUCGUCGCAUGUUACAAAUUUCAUGCGAGACUGCCCGGGUCAACCGGGAGGAAGGCGGGGAUGACGUCAGAUCAGCAU
rnacentral:rRNA from 1 species